rnacentral:SRP_RNA from 1 species
GCUGGGCGUGGUGGCAGGCGCCUGUAAUCCCAGCUAAUCGGGAGGCUGAGGCAGGAGAAUCGCUUGAACCCAGGAGGUGGAGGUUGCAGUGAGCCAAGACUGCGCCACUGCACUCUAGCCUGGGUGACAGAGCGAGACUCUGUCUCAA